GGGUCCCUGGGGUGUUUGCCAGUUGAACACGACCCUGAGCCGAUAAUCUAUAUCCAAGGGUAAGCCCUGCGCUACUAUUGAGCAUGCUCAUAUUAUUUGAGAAGCCUACGGUAGCGAUUGUUUACCCGUCCUGAACCUACUGGUUUCAGGCCAAAUUCAGCAGCGGCACCCUGGGCUCUUU
rnacentral:other from 1 species